AACAAGGCGUACCUGCGGACCUGCGGAGGGAUCAUUACAAGUGACCCCGGUCUAACCACCGGGAUGUUCAUAACCCUUUGUUGUCCGACUCUGUUGCCUCCGGGGCGACCCUGCCUUCGGGCGGGGGCUCCGGGUGGACACUUCAAACUCUUGCGUAACUUUGCAGUCUGAGUAAACUUGAUUAAUAAAUUAGAACUUUUAACAAUGGAUCU
rnacentral:misc_RNA from 1 species